rnacentral:rRNA from 1 species
AUACGGAGGGUGCAAGCGUUAUUCGGAAUCACUGGGCGUAAAGGACGCGUAGGCGGGUUGGCAAGUCAGAUGUGAAAUCCUACAGCUCAACUGUAGAACUGCACUUGAAACUACAGACCUAGAGUAUGGAAGGGGCAGAUGGAAUUAGUGGUGUAGGGGUAAAAUCCGUAGAUAUCACUAGGAAUACCGAAAGCGAAGGCGAUCUGCUGGGACAUUACUGACGCUGAGGCGUGAAAGCGUGGGGAGCAAACAGGAUUAGAAACCCCAGUAGUCC